AUGUCAAUGCUCGGGCAUUUUCUGAAAAAAAUCUUGAACCACUCCCAUGCCUCAGGAUAGCUCUCCAAAUCUUUCUGCUUAAAGGUGUGGACGUCAUUCCUGAUUU
rnacentral:snoRNA from 1 species